rnacentral:misc_RNA from 1 species
GGAAGGAUCAUUAACACGUAUCCAACGUUAAAACCCCCCGUGAAUAUUAAUCGUGCUCUUGCAGCCUCCCAACAAAGCAAUCUCUGGUAAAUCACGUCGAACGGUUUGAUUCAGAGACCUCUGGGUUGGUGAUGACAGCUUUUGCGAUUGCUGCAAUCGAGCGCUAGGAUCAGUGGUUUGGUUUCCCCUCAAACCACUUCAAUGAAUGUCAGUGUCAUUGAAGUGUGAUGGGGAGGUCGCAUAACGCACGCUGUAGGCCCACACGGGCCGGCGUCCAAAUCACCGGGCGCAAGCCCCCCUAAAACCACAUGUCAGCGUAGGCCCUUCUGUCGUGGUUGGGUGUAAAAACGAACAACUGUUAACAAUGGAUAUCUUGGUUCUCGCAACGAUGAAGAACGCAGCGAAAUGCGAUACGUAAUGCGAAUUGCAGAAUUCAGUGAAUCAUCGAAUCUUUGAACGCAAAUUGCGCUCUCGGGUUACCCCAAAGAGCACACCUCUCUGAGUGUCGGUUUAACCAAAUGUUACCAAUUUAUUGGUGUACGACAGACUGAGGGUAAGGGGUUUCAGCGGAUUUUAAAUUGAGCUCUUCCCGCUUCACUCGCCGUUACUAGGGGAAUCCUUGUUAGUUUCUUUUCCUCCCCUUAAUAAUAUGCUUAAAUUCAGGGGGUCUUCCCACUUCAUCUGAGGUCUAAUUCAUAGAUGCCCAAGACCAUCAACUCUCGAAGCAAGCUUCUCAAGUCAACAAUUUUGUUCAUUUGUUUCUUUGGCUACAUGACAUAGGGUUUGUGGAUUGGAUUCACAAUUAAGUGAAAGCAACUUGCCACGAACACACACAGUCGUGCGGCUGAGUUUUAAAGGGAAAGAGGCCUGUGGAGUUGUAAUCUAGAGAGGCUCUCUCAGUGCCAGCCUGGUUAUAAGUCCCUUGAAACGGGGCAUCAAAGAGGGUGAGAAUCCCGUAUUUGAGCCGGAGCUAAGUACGUACGAGGAGCUUUCCAAGAGUCGCGUUGCUUGGGAGUGCAGCGCUAAAUGGGUGGUAAAGUUCAUCUAAAGCUAAAUACUGGCGAGAGACCGAUAGCGAACAAGUACCGUGAGGGAAAGAUGAAAAGAACUUUGAAAAGAGAGUUAAAAAGUACUUGAAAUUGUUAACAGGGAAGGGGAGUCAACCAGUCAUUUCUAAGCUUCAUUCGCUUUUCCUUCGGGAGGGGUUACUUGAGGCUAAGAAGGGUCGGCACCACUUAGUGGUCUCGCAGAAACUGCGUGAGUUGGUGCAUUUCUUCGGAUUUGUUUAACUUGCGCGAUCUACGUUGUCGCUGGGUGAGGAGUGAUAACCCCCCGCUUUCGGGCGUCGGUACUCUGAGGUCUGUUUGCCCUAGCGCGUGAGAGAACAAAGUUCUGUCUGUGCGAAAGGUAAAUACUGCCUUGGAUGUGCCAGAUGGUGGGUUCGCGGUGCAGACGAAAUGGUUGUCUUCCACCCGUCUUGAAACACGGACCAAGGAGUCUAACAUAUAUGCGAGUAUUUGGGUGACAAACCCUGAUGCGUAAUGAAAGUAAAGAGCCGCAAGGCUUGAGGUAGGAAUCCUGCCCUCGGGUGGGAGGCACUAUCGACCGAUCGUUCGCUUGCGGAAGAUUUGAGUAAUAGCAUAUCUGUUGGGACCCGAAAGAUGGUGAUCUAUGCCUGAACAGGGUGAAGCCAGGGGAAACUCUGGUGGAAGCUCGUAGCGAUACUGACGUGCAAAUCGUUCGUCUGAUUUGGGUAUAGGGGCGAAAGACUAAUCGAACCAUCUAGUAGCUGGUUCCCUC